UCGACCACUCUUCGCCACCACCA
rnacentral:siRNA from 1 species